rnacentral:rRNA from 1 species
CCUACGGGUGGCAGCAGUGGGGAAUAUUGCACAAUGGGGGAAACCCUGAUGCAGCGACGCCGCGUGAGUGAAGAAGUAAUUCGUUACGUAAAGCUCUAUCAGCAGGGAAGAAAUACUGACCUUACGGUCAGCAGACGGUACCUGAGUAAGAAGCCCCGGCUAACUACGUGCCAGCAGCCGCAGUAAUACGUAGGGGGCAAGCGUUAUCCGGAUUUACUGGGUGUAAAGGGAGCGUAGACGGUGCGCCAAGUAUGGAGUGAAAUGCCGCAGCUUAACUGCGGAACUGCUGUGGAAACUGGCGAACUAGAGUGCGGGAGGGGUAAGCGGAAUUCCUAGUGUAGCGGUGAAAUGCGUAGAUAUUAGGAGGAACACCGGUGGCGAAGGCGGCUUACUGGACCGUAACUGACGUUGAGGCUCGAAAGCGUGGGGAGCAAACAGGAUUAGAUACACCAGUAGUC